rnacentral:rRNA from 1 species
UACAUGGGGUGCAAACGUUGCUCGGAAUUAUUGGGCGUAAAGCGCACGUAGGUGGUUUGUUAUGUCGGAUGUGAAAGCCCUCGGCUCAACUGAGGAAGUGCAUCCGAAACUGGCAAGCUAGAGUAUGUAAGAGGGUCGCGGAAUUCCCGGUGUAGAGGUGAAAUUCGUAGAUAUCGGGAGGAACACCGGUGGCGAAGGCGGCGACCUGGGACAAUACUGACGCUGAGGAGCGAAAGCGUGGGGAGCGAACAGG